CACCGCGGUCAUACAAGAGACCCAAAUCAACUGUCCUACAAGCGGCGUAAAGAGUGGUAAGAUGCCUAUCCUACCUAACUAAGAUCAAAAUGCAACUAAGCUGUCGCAAGCACAAGAUGCACCUAAACACACCAUCAAGAUGAUCUUAGAAACUAGCGAUUAAUUUGAACCCACGAAAGCCAGGGCC
rnacentral:rRNA from 1 species